rnacentral:tRNA from 1 species
GCCCGAGUGGCGAAAUUGGCAGACGCGCUGGAUUUAGGUUCCAGUGGCCGAAAGGCCGUGAAGGUUCAAGUCCUUUCUCGGGCACCA